GGGCAUGUGGUGUAGUUGGUUAUCACGCUCGCUUAGCAUAUUACUCCUUAGCUAGUAGAGCAGCUUGCGAGAGGGGUCCGGUUCGAUCCCGGACAUGUCCA